UUAUUCAUAUUUUUAAUCCUUUCGUUUAAUUACCUAUCCGCUGUGACUGGCUUUCGGCUGCAAUGGGUCACGAUAAUGCAAGACUGUCCACGGAGGUCCCUUGUUUCUAUCAUUUCUUAGUCAACACGUUAGUUGCACGUUUCGUUUUUUCACCCAGACAAAGCGUCAGUAGAUGUAACAGAGAAAACUAACAUUCUGCAUUCGUACAUAGCUCUGCUCUGCCCCAGUGCCUUGCCGAGUAUCUGCUCUUCAUUUUGCUGCAUCUCCACCCGCGCUAAGCAUAGAGAGGGAACUGAAAGCAUGCCUUUACAAAAAGGCUAAUGGGCAUUCAUUUGUUUUGGAAAAAUCAUCUCUGGAUAAAAGGCAAACAUCGUCUGUGAAUCGAUUUGUAUAGCUUCUGUGUCAUGGAGAGUCCGUAAAUGCCGGGGAGAGAGACAUGAAGAGGUGCAGCACUGGUGUCACCCUGCCAGUUUUGGGACUCGGCUGUAUGUGUGAGGAGUUUGCAGUUUGCAUCUUCACCCGUUGCCAUAUGUUCUCCUGGUUGCACAAGCUUAUGUGUGUAGCCAAAGAGCCAAAGGACCUUCACCUAUACUGUAUGCUUAAGAGGUGAGUCAACGUGGAUGUACACAACACCAGGCUUCAGGGCUAUUUACAGCCCGUGCUCCAAGCUUUUUUUAGCAACCAAGCUAUUGAUGUGCUCCCCCCUUACAAAUGUCUUUCUUUUUUUUUUGCUUGACAAGAAUUGAUCUAAGAUUAGAUUACUAUGAGUUGCUGAAUGCGCCUAACCAAAAUAAAGGCUGUCUGAUUCAAUUCACUUUUUUUAAAGAUUGUAGAAGAAAUAGAAGAUUAUAGAAGAAAUUAUACAGCCUCUCCCCAUGUUACAAUGGGGUUACGUUCCAAUAAACCUAUCAUAAGUCAAAAUUAAUACAGUUCACCUAACCUGACAACAUCAUAGUCUAGCCCACCUUAAACACGCUCAGAACACUUACAUUAGUCUACAGUUGGGCAAAAUCAUUAACACAAAGCCUUUUUUAUGAUAAAUUGUUGAAUAUCUCAUGUAAUUUAUUGAAUAAUGUACUGAAAGUGAAAAACAUUUACCCAUCGUAAAGUCGAAAUACACAGAUCAUCAUAACCCGGGGAGCGUCUGUGCUCUAUAAUUGCUUCAUACCAAAAUGCUUCAAGGAUCUGCAGUAACUCAGAUAGCAGCAAACCACCGUAAGGAAGUAGGGAAGUGGGAUAUCCUUCAAUAUAGUCAGAGAACAAGCAUUCAAAUCACUUAGCAUUAGGGGCAUCGGAGGGGUAUGGGUACCCUGGCAGAUUCAGGGGGGGCAACAUCUGAUGGGGCCCCUUUUAUUCAUAAAGGUACACGCAGAAUUGGGAGGGGGCCCUGCUUAGCAUAUAUAUAUUUACCUCUAAUACAGAUGUAUAAAGGGGUAAUACAUUUCUAUUUUGGACGUUAUGAAUAUAUCAUAAAUGUUGCAAGUGAAAGAUUGCAUACUUUGUAUUGUAUCACAUGGGAUUUAACCUAAAACUAAAACAUAAAUAUGCAGUAAAGUUAUAACACCAACUUUACUGUUUAUUACAGUGUUUCCAGUAUAAAUUCUCUUCAUUAUUAUAACUAUUAGAAUGAUUAAUCACCAGCACUGGAUACAUUUAAAUAUUUUGCAAGAUGUUUCAGUUUAAUUGAAUUUAAAUGUACGUGCUAAUAUGGUGACUACAUGAAAAAGAAAUCCUUCUUCCUAAACCUGGAGGGGAGUUUUUCAUAGCUAAACUUAUGACCAUCGCAUUUUCACUAUUUUGCCGUUUCAACAAGCAAAUCGAUUUGUUGUUUCCACGAUAACAUUUUCCAGUGAGUUUGCAUUUCAGUCCCUUUUAGGGGGAGUUGGACAUUCAAACACAUGGUUGUCAGGUAUUUAAUCAUUUAUAUUUGACAGACAGUGAUUAGUUUCCACACAUUUAAUUUUAGUUCAUUCAGAAGAAUUAUUCUGUUAAAAUAAUUAAAUCCAUCCAUUCAUCAAUCCAUCCGUCCAUCCAUCUUCUAACUGCUUUUCCAGGUCACGGGGGUCAUGGGUAAGUUCUGGAGCCUAUCCCAAACAGCACAAGACUGAGUCACACUCCAGAUGUGAGGCCAGUCCACUGCAGACCACAUACAUGCACAAACUAUGUGUAACUCAGAGACACCAGUUAGCCUACCCGCAUGUUUUUGGAUGGGGGGGGGGAACAUGUGAACUCCACACAUACAGGUAGGAUUCAUAGUCUCAUCUCAAGCAGCAUGAAGUAACAGCACCACCCACAGAGGACACAGAAGCAGAAGAAUGGGCCAAAAUCUCACCUGGACACUCUGAGGCUGGCUACUGUGUACAGAAAGCAUCUUGAAGCUGUCAUUGUAAACAGCAAAGGCUUCUCCACUACUUAUUAUAUACAUUUUACUAAGGGUGUUCAGUACCUUUUCCAUGAGUCAAUCCACUUAGUUGCACAUAACUUUUGUAUGGAUUGGAAUGUUACGAUUUCAUAAUGUCUGGUGAGCUAAUGUCUGGUCUAAAUCUCAUGUAUCACGUGCUGAAUAAUUAUUUCCGCCAAUGUAUGAACCAGAGUGAUUGUGAGGUGAUUAUUCUAUUUAAUGUUUUUAAAUAUUUGCAAUAUUUACAAGUGUAGCGUUACUGCUAUUAAUUUUCCAUGUGGUGCAUUUUUUUUCAUAUGCCUGAAGCAUAUUCAGUUAUAUAAUUUAAGAGGGUCAUGUUAUAAAUUGUAUUCAUGCAUUGUAUUGUCAAACAAUGUUUUUACCUCUACAUUAAUAACAUAUUUAAAUUCAAGUACUUCUUAUGUAGUUCAUUAAUUAAACUGGAUUAUGUUGGGGAAACUGUUCAGGUUGUUCUUAUAAUAAUAAAAAAUGAGGCCAGGAAUUUUAUUCAUUAUUUGAUGUACAAUGGCUUAUUCUGCACAGUAGUGACAUUAUUACCCUUUUUAGUGUUAAAAUUUGUUGUAUCCCUGAAUCCUUACAGGUUUCUGAUAAUGUCUUCAUAUUCACCUUGGCUUCCAAAUCUUAGCCUUGUCUACCAUUAUCAUCAAUAUAAGCCGAUGCUCCUUUCCAGUAUUUUACAAUGACUUUGGCAUUAUGUGUCACAUGCAAUAAAGCAGCUUAUGCAGGAAA